AGCGAACGCUGGCGGCAGGCUUAACACAUGCAAGUCGAGCGGGCCUUUCGGGGUCAGCGGCGGACGGGUGAGUAACGCGUGGGAACGUGCCCUCUGGUUCGGAAUAACUCAGGGAAACUUAAGCUAAUACCGGAUACGCCCUUUUGGGGAAAGGCUUGCUGCCGGAGGAUCGGCCCGCGUCUGAUUAGCUAGUUGGUGAGGUAACGGCUCACCAAGGCGACGAUCAGUAGCUGGUCUGAGAGGAUGAUCAGCCACACUGGGACUGAGACACGGCCCAGACUCCUACGGGAGGCAGCAGUGGGGAAUAUUGGACAAUGGGCGCAAGCCUGAUCCAGCCAUGCCGCGUGAGUGAUGAAGGCCUUAGGGUUGUAAAGCUCUUUUAUCCGGGACGAUAAUGACGGUACCGGAGGAAUAAGCCCCGGCUAACUUCGUG
rnacentral:rRNA from 1 species